rnacentral:lncRNA from 1 species
CGGUUUGAAAAGUGUGCAAAAAUUUUCUAAUUACAUACCGGAACACACUUUAAAAAGUGUGCCGGUAUUAUAAACGUGUGUUCCGGUAUGAUGUAAAGUAUGCCGGUAUUAUAAACGUGUGUUCCGGUAUGAUGUAAAGUAUGCUGGUAUUAUAAACGUGUCCCAGAAAACAUAAAUUCAUUUUCUGAAGUAAGCAUGUUAUAGACACCCAAAACAAAGAACUUGUGUCUUUGUCGCAGAAACUCAGGUACACAUCGUACCUCUUCCUGUUUAGAGCAUUGGUGGUGGUGGUGGUAGAUUUGGGUUCAAAUUUGCGGCGUUUGUAGAAGCAGGAAAUGAAGGAAGACAUGGAUGAAUUUGAUGAAUCUGAAAUUCAAUUCAACUGAAAUGUUGAAGCAAAAAUCUCUUUGGAAUCUAUGUGUGUGAGUACAAUAAUUGCACAUGGAGAGAAACAUACAAAAUGUUAUGAAAAUAAUUAUUAAUUGAAACGAAGGAGUAGGUAAUGUCCUGUUUGCUUUA